GGAGCCCGGGCCUGCGCGCGCCUCCGCUUCCUCCGCUUGUCUCCGGCUCUCCGCGGCCCGCGCGCUGGAGCAGAGAAGUCAUGUCUUCCUCCAGACUGGGGCUCCAUUUGGCUGCCUGCUUACUGAAUAUUUCAGAAGCCAGAAGAAAAUAUAUUGUUGAGAACAUAGCAAAAGUAGCUCUUCUUGAAAAAAAUGGGCAGAAACAUCCUGAAGUAUCAGUGCUCAAUUUGCUGAUCAAGACUACAACAGAUCAGUCAUUACAAUAGUGGCUUCUGUUGAUAAGUUGGGCAGUUCUGUUCUGGCUGCUUUCUUGGAGGCCUUCCAUGCUAUUGAUACGGAGGUUCAAGGGGGAUCCACCCUUGCCUGGGUGCAGUGGACCUGAUCCCCAUUUUCCCUCUCUCUGGUGUGGGAGUGGAAGAGUGCGGAGCAGUGACCAGAAGCCUUGCUGCGGAUCUGGUUCUGCACGUACCUGGCUGUAGUGUGUUUCUCUUCGGUGAAGCUGACCUGCCUGAGAAGCGCAGUCCUGUCCAGAGAAGGAAGCAACUGGGCUGGUUCACAGGGCGGGAUUUCAGUGCUCUUAGCCUGACUUGGGAGCUACACCUGCCAGAAGAUGCGGUU